CCUACGGGAGGCAGCAGUGAGGAAUAUUGGUCAAUGGGCGGAAGCCUGAACCAGCCAAGUAGCGUGCGGGAUGAAGGCCCUACGGGUCGUAAACUGCUUUUGUACGGGGAUAAAAUCAUCCACGUGUGGAUGUCUGCAGGUACUGUGCGAAUAAGGGUCGGCUAAUUCCGUGCCAGCAGCCGCGGUAAUACGGAGGGUCCGAGCGUUAUCCGGAUUCAUUGGGCUUAAAGGGAGCGUAGGCGGGCUGUCAAGUCAGCGGUAAAAUCGCGCGGCUCAACCGCGCCCCGCAGUUGAAACUGGGCGUCUUGAGUUCACAACAGGCAGGCGGAAUUCGUGGUGUAGCGGUGAAAUGCUUAGAUAUUACGAAGAACCCCGAUUGCGAAGGCAGCCUGCCGGGGUGCGACUGACGCUGAGGCUCGAAGGUGCGGGUAUCAAACAGGAUUAGAUACCCUUGUAGUC
rnacentral:rRNA from 1 species